AUUGAACGCUGGCGGCAGGCCUAACACAUGCAAGUCAGGCGAGCGGCGGACGGGUGAGUAAUGUAUGGGGAUCUGCCUGAUGGCGGGGGAUAACUACUGGAAACGGUAGCUAAUAAGGCAUAACAUAAGAUGAACCCAUAUGGGAUUGGCUAGUAGGUAAGGUAACGGCUUACAUAGGCCACGAUCCCUAGCUGGUCUGAGAGGAUGAAAAGCCACACUGUGACUAAGACACGUCCCAGACUCCGACGUGAGGCAGCAGUGGGGAAUAUUGCACAAUGGGCGCAAGCCGGAUGCAGCCAUGCCGCGUGUAUGAAGAAGGCCUUCGGGUUGUAAAGUACUUUCAGGCGGGAGGCGUUACCGCCAGAAGAAGCACCUGCUAACUCCGUGCCAGCAGCCGCGGUAAUUC
rnacentral:rRNA from 1 species